CCUUCGAUAGCUCAGCUGGUAGAGCGGAGGACUGUAGGCUUAGAUCUCCCGGGAAUCCUUAGGUCGCUGGUUCAACUCCGGCUCGAAGGA
rnacentral:tRNA from 1 species